rnacentral:rRNA from 1 species
AUACGGAGGAUCCGAGCGUUAUCCGGAUUUAUUGGGUUUAAAGGGUGCGCAGGCGGCCAUUUAAGUCAGCGGUUAUAUCGUGGGGCUCAACCCCAUUCUGCCGUUGAUACUGGGUGGCUUGAUUGCGGUCGAGGUUGGCGGAAUUCGUUGUGUAGCGGUGAAAUGCAUAGAUAUGACGAAGAACACCGAUUGCGUAGGCAGCUGACCAGAUCGCAAAUGACGCUCAUGCACGAAAGUGCGGGGAUCGAACAGGAUUAGAUACCCUGGUAGUCCGCACAGUAAACGAUGAAUACUUGUUUUCGGCGAUAUAAUGUCGGAGGCAAAGCGAAAGCGAUAAGUAUUCCACCUGGGGAGUACGCCGGCAACGGUGAAACUCAAAGGAAUUGACGGGG